GACGAACGCUGGCGGCAUGCCUAACACAUGCAAGUCGAACGGAGAGUUUCUAACACUGAGAAUCUUCAGUGUGACGCCAAGCGGUGAAAGCGGAGCUUUCACUACGCUCUUUAAAGUGUGACAACACAUACAGGCGGGGAACACGGAAAGGUUUUCAGUGUUGGAAACUCUUAGUGGCGAACGGGUGAGUAACGCGUAGGCAACCUGCCCUUUAGUUGGGGACAACAUUCCGAAAGGGGUGCUAAUACCGAAUGUGAUCACUUUCUCGCAUGAGAUUGUGAUGAAAGAUGGCCUCUAUUUAUAAGCUAUCGCUAAAGGAUGGGCCUGCGUCUGAUUAGCUAGUUGGUGGGGUAACGGCCUACCAAGGCGAUGAUCAGUAGCCGGUCUGAGAGGAUGAACGGCCACAUUGGGACUGAGACACGGCCCAGACUCCUACGGGAGGCAGCAGUGGGGAAUCUUCCGCAAUGGGCGAAAGCCUGACGGAGCAAUGCCGC
rnacentral:rRNA from 1 species